rnacentral:rRNA from 1 species
GACGUAGGGGGCCAGCGUUGUUCGGAAUUACUGGGUGUAAAGGGUUCGUAGGCGGUGUAGCAAGUCGGGAGUGAAAUCUCUGGGCUUAACCCAGAGGCUGCUUCCGAAACUGCUGUGCUAGAGUGUGGGAGAGGCGCGUGGAAUUGCAGGUGUAGCGGUGAAAUGCGUAGAUAUCUGCAGGAACACCCGUGGCGAAAGCGGCGCGCUGGACCACUACUGACGCUGAGGAACGAAAGCGUGGGUAGCAAACAGG